UAAUACGUAGGGUGCAGGCGUUAAUCGGAAUUACUGGGCGUAAAGCGUGCGCAGGCGGCUUCCUAAGUCAGAUGUGAAAUCCCCGGGCUCAACCUGGGAACUGCGUUUGAAACUGGGAGGCUAGAGUGCGGCAGAGGGGGGUGGAAUUCCACGUGUAGCAGUGAAAUGCGUAGAUAUGUGGAGGAACACCGAUGGCGAAGGCAGCCCCCUGGGCCAGCACUGACGCUCAUGCACGAAAGCGUGGGGAGCAAACAGGAUUAGAUACCCUGGUAGUCCACGCCCUAAACGAUGUCGACUAGUUGUUGGGGGAGUCUGUCCCUCAGUAACGUAGCUAACGCGUGAAGUCGACCGCCUGGGGAGUACGGUCGCAAGAUU
rnacentral:rRNA from 1 species